GCAGCGUCCCGCAACUGGCGCUGAUGAUGGAGCUCCAUCGGGAAGCGGGAUUGGUCGAAAGCCGGAGAGCCGCGCGCCUGGGUGAUCCGU
rnacentral:ncRNA from 1 species